rnacentral:rRNA from 1 species
UUAAGCGACUAAGCGUACACGGUGGAUGCCCACGGCAGUCAGAGGCGAUGAAGGACGUGCUAAUCUGCGAUAAGCGUCGGUAAGGUGAUAUGAACCGUUAUAACCGGCGAUUUCCGAAUGGGGAAACCCAGUGUGAUUUGUCACACUAUCAUUAACUGAAUCCAUAGGUUAAUGAGGCGAACCGGGGGAACUGAAACAUCUAAGUACCCCGAGGAAAAGAAAUCAACCGAGAUUCCCCCAGUAGCGGCGAGCGAACGGGGGAGGAGCCCAGAGCCUGAAUCAGUGUGUGUGUUAGUGGAAGCGUCUGGAAAGGCGCGCGAUACAGGGUGACAGCCCCGUACACAAAAAUGCACAUGCUGUGAGCUCGAUGAGUAGGGCGGGACACGUGGUAUCCUGUCUGAAUAUGGGGGGACCAUCCUCCAAGGCUAAAUACUCCUGACUGACCGAUAGUGAACCAGUACCGUGAGGGAAAGGCGAAAAGAACCCCGGCGAGGGGAGUGAAAAAGAACCUGAAACCGUGUACGUACAAGCAGUGGGAGCACGCUUCGGCGUGUGACUGCGUACCUUUGUAUAAUGGGUCAGCGACUUAUAUUCUGUAGCAAGGUUAACCGAAUAGGGGAGCCGAAGGGAAACCGAGUCUUAACUGGGCGUUAAGUUGCAGGGUAUAGACCCGAAACCCGGUGAUCUAGCCAUGGGCAGGUUGAAGGUUGGGUAACACUAACUGGAGGACCGAACCGACUAAUGUUGAAAAAUUAGCGGAUGACUUGUGGCUGGGGGUGAAAGGCCAAUCAAACCGGGAGAUAGCUGGUUCUCCCCGAAAGCUAUUUAGGUAGCGCCUCGUGAAUUCAUCUCCGGGGGUAGAGCACUGUUUCGGCAAGGGGGUCAUCCCGACUUACCAACCCGAUGCAAACUGCGAAUACCGGAGAAUGUUAUCACGGGAGACACACGGCGGGUGCUAACGUCCGUCGUGAAGAGGGAAACAACCCAGACCGCCAGCUAAGGUCCCAAAGUCAUGGUUAAGUGGGAAACGAUGUGGGAAGGCCCAGACAGCCAGGAUGUUGGCUUAGAAGCAGCCAUCAUUUAAAGAAAGCGUAAUAGCUCACUGGUCGAGUCGGCCUGCGCGGAAGAUGUAACGGGGCUAAACCAUGCACCGAAGCUGCGGCAGCGACACUAUGUGUUGUUGGGUAGGGGAGCGUUCUGUAAGCCUGUGAAGGUGGCCUGUGAGGGUUGCUGGAGGUAUCAGAAGUGCGAAUGCUGACAUAAGUAACGAUAAAGCGGGUGAAAAGCCCGCUCGCCGGAAGACCAAGGGUUCCUGUCCAACGUUAAUCGGGGCAGGGUGAGUCGACCCCUAAGGCGAGGCCGAAAGGCGUAGUCGAUGGGAAACAGGUUAAUAUUCCUGUACUUGGUGUUACUGCGAAGGGGGGACGGAGAAGGCUAUGUUGGCCGGGCGACGGUUGUCCCGGUUUAAGCGUGUAGGCUGGUUUUCCAGGCAAAUCCGGAAAACUAAGGCUGAGGCGUGAUGACGAGGCACUACGGUGCUGAAGCAACAAAUGCCCUGCUUCCAGGAAAAGCCUCUAAGCAUCAGGUAACAUCAAAUCGUACCCCAAACCGACACAGGUGGUCAGGUAGAGAAUACCAAGGCGCUUGAGAGAACUCGGGUGAAGGAACUAGGCAAAAUGGUGCCGUAACUUCGGGAGAAGGCACGCUGAUAUGUAGGUGAAGCGACUUGCUCGUGGAGCUGAAAUCAGUCGAAGAUACCAGCUGGCUGCAACUGUUUAUUAAAAACACAGCACUGUGCAAACACGAAAGUGGACGUAUACGGUGUGACGCCUGCCCGGUGCCGGAAGGUUAAUUGAUGGGGUUAGCGGUAACGCGAAGCUCUUGAUCGAAGCCCCGGUAAACGGCGGCCGUAACUAUAACGGUCCUAAGGUAGCGAAAUUCCUUGUCGGGUAAGUUCCGACCUGCACGAAUGGCGUAAUGAUGGCGGGCUGUCUCCACCCGAGACUCAGUGAAAUUGAACUCGCUGUGAAGAUGCAGUGUACCCGCGGCAAGACGGAAAGACCCCGUGAACCUUUACUAUAGCUUGACACUGAACAUUGAGCCUUGAUGUGUAGGAUAGGUGGGAGGCUUUGAAGUGUGGACGCCAGUCUGCAUGGAGCCGACCUUGAAAUACCACCCUUUAAUGUUUGAUGUUCUAACGUUGACCCGUGAUCCGGGUUGCGGACAGUGUCUGGUGGGUAGUUUGACUGGGGCGGUCUCCUCCUAAAGAGUAACGGAGGAGCACGAAGGUUGGCUAAUCCUGGUCGGACAUCAGGAGGUUAGUGCAAUGGCAUAAGCCAGCUUGACUGCGAGCGUGACGGCGCGAGCAGGUGCGAAAGCAGGUCAUAGUGAUCCGGUGGUUCUGAAUGGAAGGGCCAUCGCUCAACGGAUAAAAGGUACUCCGGGGAUAACAGGCUGAUACCGCCCAAGAGUUCAUAUCGACGGCGGUGUUUGGCACCUCGAUGUCGGCUCAUCACAUCCUGGGGCUGAAGUAGGUCCCAAGGGUAUGGCUGUUCGCCAUUUAAAGUGGUACGCGAGCUGGGUUUAGAACGUCGUGAGACAGUUCGGUCCCUAUCUGCCGUGGGCGCUGGAGAACUGAGGGGGGCUGCUCCUAGUACGAGAGGACCGGAGUGGACGCAUCACUGGUGUUCGGGUUGUCAUGCCAAUGGCACUGCCCGGUAGCUAAAUGCGGAAGAGAUAAGUGCUGAAAGCAUCUAAGCACGAAACUUGCCCCGAGAUGAGUUCUCCCUGACUCCCUGAGAGUCCUGAAGGAACGUUGAAGACGACGACGUUGAUAGGCCGGGUGUGUAAGCGCAGCGAUGCGUUGAGCUAACCGGUACUAAUGAACCGUGAGGCUUAACCU